ensembl:piRNA 21ur-3355 ncRNA
UAAACACCAGUAACUUGUUGU